rnacentral:rRNA from 1 species
ACGCACGCUGGCGGCGUGCUUAACACAUGCAAGUCGCACGGAAAGGCCCUGCUUUUGUGGGGUGCUCGAGUGGCGAACGGGUGAGUAACACGUGAGUAACCUGCCCUUGACUUUGGGAUAACUUCAGGAAACUGGGGCUAAUACCGGAUAGGAGCUCCUGCUGCAUGGUGGGGGUUGGAAAGUUUCGGCGGUUGGGGAUGGACUCGCGGCUUAUCAGCUUGUUGGUGGGGUAGUGGCUUACCAAGGCUUUGACGGGUAGCCGGCCUGAGAGGGUGACCGGCCACAUUGGGACUGAGAUACGGCCCAGACUCCUACGGGAGGCAGCAGUGGGGAAUAUUGCACAAUGGGCGGAAGCCUGAUGCAGCAACGCCGCGUGCGAGAUGACGGCCUUCGGGUUGUAAACCGCUUUCGCCUGUGACGAAGCGUGAGUGACGGUAAUGGGUAAAGAAGCACCGGCUAACUACGU